UGGGGAAUAUUGCACAAUGGGCGCAAGCCUGAUGCAGCAACGCCGCGUGAGGGAAGACGGUUUUCGGAUUGUAAACCUCUGUCAUUAGUGACGAAGAAGUGACGGUAGCUAAUGAGGAAGCCACGGCUAACUACGUGCCAGCAGCCGCGGUAAUACGUAGGUGGCGAGCGUUAUCCGGAAUUACUGGGUGUAAAGGGAGCGCAGGCGGGAUAGCAAGUCAGCGGUGAAAUGCAUGGGCUUAACCCAUGAGCUGCCGUUGAAACUGUUAUUCUUGAGUGGAGUAGAGGCAGGCGGAAUUCCGAGUGUAGCGGUGAAAUGCGUAGAUAUUCGGAGGAACACCAGUGGCGAAGGCGGCCUGCUGGGCUCUAACUGACGCUGAGGCUCGAAAGUGUGGGGAGCAAACAGG
rnacentral:rRNA from 1 species